GCCCAGGUGGCUCAGUCGGUUAAGCGUCUGACUUUGGCUCAGGUCAUGAUCCCGCGGUUGGUGGGUUCGAGCCCCGCAUCGGGCU
rnacentral:tRNA from 1 species